UACGUAGGGGGCGAACGUUAUCCAGAUUUACUGGGCGGAAAGCGCGUGUAGGCGGCCCUGCAAGUCGGAUGUGAAAUCCCACGGCUCAACCGUGGAAGUGCAUUCGAAACUGCAGGGCUAGAGUCCUGGAGAGGAAGGUGGAAUGCUUGGUGUAGAGGUGAAAUUCGUAGAUAUCAAGCGGAACACCGGUGGCGAAGGCGGCCUUCUGGACAGUGACUGACGCUGAGACGCGAAAGCGUGGGGAGCAAACAGG
rnacentral:rRNA from 1 species